GGGUUAAGUCCCGCAACGAGCGCAACCCUCAUCCUUAGUUGCUAACGGUUCGGCCGAGAACUCUAAGGAAACUGCCGGUGUUAAACCGGAGGAAGUGGGGACGACGUCAAGUCAUCAUGGCCCUUACGUCCUGGGCUACACACGUGCUACAAUGGUGGUGACAAUGGGUCAAUCCAUAAAAGCCAUCUCAGUUCGGAUUGUCCUCUGCAACUCGAGGGCAUGAAGUUGGAAUCGCUAGUAAUCGUAGAUCAGCAUGCUACGGUGAAUACGUUCCCGGGUCUU
rnacentral:rRNA from 1 species